AAAAAAAAUGGAAAAAGAACAGAAUAAACAUCGAAAAAGAAAAGCAACAGAAAUAAAUGAACAUCAAGAAAAGAGAAAUACAAAGAAACAUCAUCCACCUUUCGGUCCCAAACAACAUCACCAAAAUUAUGGAUGGGUCUCUUCUGGGAGGAAAGCGGCUCAUCCAGACCAAGGAACAUCAACAAAAGGAUGAUAGGAAAAAAGAACACCAAAAAAGAAAA